rnacentral:rRNA from 1 species
GACGAACGCUGGCGGCGUGCCUAAUAAUUGCAAGUCGAACGAGGGGCGGACGGGUGAGUGACACGUGGGAACCUACCCAACAGAGGGGGAUAACACUUGGAAAUAGGUGCUAAUACCGCAGACGGAUGGAUGGACCCGCGGUGCAUUAGCUAGUUGGUUAGGGAAUGGCUCACCUAGGCGACGAUCCCUAGCUGGUCUUAGAGGAUGAUCAGCCACACUGGGACUGAGACACGGCCCAGACUCCUACGGGAGGCAGCAGUGGGGAAUAUUGCACAAUGGGCGCAAGCCUGAUGCAGCCAUGCCGCGUGUAUGAAGAAGGCCCUAGGGUUGUAAAGUACUUUCAGUCGGGAGGCGUUACCGACAGAAGAAGCACCGGCUAACUCCGUGCCAGCAGCCGCGGUAAUAC